rnacentral:rRNA from 1 species
AUUGAACGCUGGCGGCAGGCCUAACACAUGCAAGUCGAACGGUAGCACAGAGAGCUUGCUCUCGGGUGACGAGUGGCGGACGGGUGAGUAAUGUCUGGGAAACUGCCCGAUGGAGGGGGAUAACUACUGGAAACGGUAGCUAAUACCGCAUAACGUCGCGAGACCAAAGUGGGGGACCUUCGGGCCUCACACCAUCGGAGGUGCCCAGAUGGGAUUAGCUAGUAGGUGGGGUAAUGGCUCACCUAGGCGACGAUCCCUAGCUGGUCCGAGAGGAUGACCAGCCACACUGGAACUGAGACACGGUCCAGGCUCCUACGGGAGGCAGCAGUGGGGAAUAUUGCACAAUGGGCGCAAGCCUGAUGCAGCCAUGCCGCGUGUAUGAAGAAGGCCUUCGGGUUGUAAAGUACUUUCAGCGGGGAGGAAGGCGGUGAAGUUAAUAACUUCACCGAUUGACGUUACCCGCAGAAGAAGCACCGGCUAACUCCGUGCCAGCCGCCGCUGUAA